CCCAGUCCCAACCGGCGGGAAGACCGGCCCAUCAGCUUCUACCAGCUGGGCUCCAACCAGCUUCAGUCUAACGCUGUAUCUUUGGCCAGAGAUGCUGCAAACCUUGCCAAAGACAAGCAGAGGGCUUUCAUGCCCAGCAUCCUACAGAAUGAGACUUACGGAGCCCUCCUGAGUGGCAGCCCACCUCCCACCCAGCCUGCAGCCCCCAGCACCACCAGCGCCCCCCCGCUUCCUCCACGGAAUGUUGGCAAAGAUCCCCUGACCCCCACGCCGCCCCCUCCCGUUGCCAAGACGCCCAGCGUAAUGGAAGCCUUGAGCCAGCCGAGCAAGCCUGCCCCGCCUGGGAUCUCGCAGAGCAGGCCCCCACCUCUGCCCCCACAGCCGCCCAGCCGCCUCCCGCAGAAGAAGCCUGCGCCGGGGGCUGACAAGUCCACCCCACUGACCAACAAAGGCCAACCGAGAGGACCUGUGGAUCUCUCUGCAACAGAAGCUCUGGG
rnacentral:sRNA from 1 species